rnacentral:rRNA from 1 species
UAGCGUUGUUCGGAAUCACUGGGCGUAAAGCGCACGUAGGCGGAUGUGUCAGUCAGGGGUGAAAUCCCGGGGCUCAACCUCGGAACUGCCUUUGAUACAGCACGUCUCGAGUCCGGAAGAGGCAGGUGGAAUUCCGGGUGUAGCGGUGGAAUGCGUAGAGAUCCGGAAGAACACCGGUGGCGAAGGCGGCCUGCUGGGCAGUAGCUGACACUGAGGCGCGACAGCGUGGGGAGCAAACAGG